rnacentral:rRNA from 1 species
UACGGAGGGAGCUAGCGUUGUUCGGAAUUACUGGGCGUAAAGCGCGCGUAGGCGGCUUUGUAAGUCAGAGGUGAAAUCCCGGAGCUCAACUCCGGAACUGCCUUUGAGACUGCAUCGCUUGAAUCCGGGAGAGGUGAGUGGAAUUCCGAGUGUAGAGGUGAAAUUCGUAGAUAUUCGGAAGAACACCAGUGGCGAAGGCGGCUCACUGGACCGGUAUUGACGCUGAUGUGCGAAAGCGGUGGGAGCAAACAGG